rnacentral:ncRNA from 1 species
CAACGGGGGGCCCAUGAAAUGGGCUGAGAUACGGAUGUGGUUCCGUGACCCAUGACACCUGAUCUGGAUCAUGCCAGCGUAGGGAACAU